rnacentral:rRNA from 1 species
CGGCCGAUAUCUGAUUAGCUAGUUGGUAGGGUAAAAGCCUACCAAGGCAUCGAUCAGUAGCUGGUCUGAGAGGACGACCAGCCACACUGGAACUGAGACACGGUCCAGACUCCUACGGGAGGCAGCAGUGGGGAAUUUUGGACAAUGGGCGAAAGCCUGAUCCAGCAAUGCCGCGUGAGUGAAGAAGGCCUUCGGGUUGUAAAGCUCUUUGUCAGGGAAGAAACGGGAGGGCUAAUAUCCCUGUAAUGACGGUAC